CGGAGGAUCCAAGCGUUAUCCGGAAUCAUGGGUUUAAAGGGUCCGUAGGCGGGUUUAUAAGUCAGUGGUGAAAGCCCAUCGCUCAACGAUGGAACGGCCAUUGAUACUGUAGAUCUUGAAUUAUUAGGAAGUAACUAGAAUAUGUAGUGUAGCGGUGAAAUGCUUAGAGAUUACAUGGAAUACCAAUUGCGAAGGCAGGUUACUACUAAUGGAUUGACGCUGAUGGACGAAAGCGUGGGUAGCGAACAGGAUUAGAUACCCUGGUAGUCCACGCCGUAAACGAUGGAUACUAGCUGUUCGGAGCAAUCUGAGUGGCUAAGCGAAAGUGAUAAGUAUCCCACCUGGGGAGUACGUUCGCAAGAAUG
rnacentral:rRNA from 1 species